GACGAACCGUGCGAACGUUGUUCGGAAUCACUGGGCUUAAAGGGCGCGUAGGCGGCUUGCCACGUCGGGGGUGAAAUCCGGCAGCUUAACUGUCGAAGUGCCUUCGAUACUGGCAAGCUCGAGGGAGGUAGGGGUCUGUGGAACUUCUGGUGGAGCGGUGAAAUGCGUUGAUAUCAGAAGGAACGCCGGUGGCGAAAGCGACGGACUGGACCUCUUCUGACGCUGAGGCGCGAAAGCUAGGGGAGCAAACGGG
rnacentral:rRNA from 1 species